rnacentral:rRNA from 1 species
AAUGAAUUUAAUUCAUGCGUUUUGUUUAGAUUUUUAUUGUUGUUUAUUUGUCUUUAUUGGGCGUUAAGAUUAAGGGGGAUUAGCUCCUUGUUUUAUUUUUAUAAUUUUUGUGUAUAUUUAGUUUUGUGGAUUUUAUAGUGAUUUUCAAUUUGAUUAUGUUAAAAUUUUAUUUAUUUCUUUUGUUAUUUUGGUUUUUAUUUAAUUAUUUAUUGGAAUAUUUUCUUUACUUUUUAUUGGAUUGUAAUUAUUGUGGGAUUAGUAAAUUUGUUUGUUGUGUUGUUUAUAUUUAUGUUUAAUUUCUUUUGAGGAAUUAGGCAAAUAUUGUGUCCGCCUGUUUAACAAAAACAUCUUUUCUUGUUAGUUUUUGAAGUAUGGCCUGCCCGCUGACGUUGAGUUGAAGGGCCGCGGUAUUUUGACCGUGCAAAGGUAGCAUAAUCAUUAGUUCUUUAAUUGUGAUCUGGAAUGAAUGGCUUGACGAGGCACGGGCUGUCUUAGUGUUGAAUAUUUUAUUGAAUUUGGUCUUUGAGUUAAAAUUCUUAGAUGUUUUUAUGGGACGAGAAGACCCUAUAGAGUUUAACAUUUGGUUUAUUUAUUUUUUGGUUGUUUGUUUAUUUUAUUGGUGAGUGGGCUUUUUGUUUUGUUGGGGUGAUGAGAGGAAUGGUUUAACUCCUCUUGGUUUUGGUUAUAUUGAUUUAUAGUU